UUUCUGUAGGUGAACCUGCGGAAGGAUCAUUACUGAGUGAGGGCCCCUCGGGGUCCAACCUCCCACCCGUGUUUAACGAACCUUGUUGCUUCGGCGGGCCCGCCUCACGGCCGCCGGGGGGCAUCUGCCCCCGGGCCCGCGCCCGCCGAAGCCACCUGUGAACGCUGUCUGAAGUAUGCAGUCUGAGACAAUUAUUAAAUUAAUUAAAACUUUCAACAACGGAUCUCUUGGUUCCG
rnacentral:misc_RNA from 1 species